AGCAGUUCAAAACUACAUUUCCCAUAAUGACUAGCAGAGCUUAGCUCACUGACAGCUAUCCUAUUAACGAGCAGCGGUAGCUGAGGCAAAAUCAAAUAUUGCUAUAAAAGUUUACAAUCAUCGGCAGCGCAACGAUGCAACACCAAACGGGAUUUUAAAGAUCACACCAGUAAGAAUCUCCAACAGAAGUCAACAGUUACCGAAAAAAUUGACAGUUGACGCCAUGAUAAAGCCAAUCUGUGAAUGCUCACACAUGCACAAAUUUAAAUAAAGGAUGUGAAAAGUAGGCAUGUCCGGUCAAAAGAGGACGUUUGGUCACCCGAGUACAGCACCAAGGGGGUUGAACUGUAUGGGAAAUUGGACUGGAAAAU